rnacentral:rRNA from 1 species
GAUGAACGCUGGCGGCGUGCCUAACACAUGCAAGUCGAACGAGACCUUCGGGUCUAGUGGCGCACGGGUGCGUAACGCGUAGGAAUCUGCCCUCAGGUACGGAAUAACUCAGGGAAACUUGAGCUAAUACCGUAUAAUGACUUCGGUCCAAAGAUUUAUCGCCUGAGGAUGAGCCCGCGUCGGAUUAGCUAGUUGGUGAGGUAAAAGCUCACCAAGGCGACGAUCCGUAGCUGGUCUGAGAGGAUGAUCAGCCACACUGGGACUGAGACACGGCCCAGACUCCUACGGGAGGCAGCAGUGGGGAAUAUUGGACAAUGGGCGAAAGCCUGAUCCAGCAAUGCCGCGUGAGUGAUGAGGGCCUUAGGGUUGUAAAGCUCUUUUACCCGGGAUGAUAAUGACAGUACCGGGAGAAUAAGCCCCGGCUAACUUCGUGCCAGCAGCCGCAGUAA